UCCUCAAGCACAUGGACAUAGCGACCAGCCGACCACACAUCCUUUUCCGUACGAACCCCAAAAAAUACUGCAUUCUCUUUCUCGUUCACACCUUCACACACUCGCAUGUUGCUCUUGCCAGAUCCCCUUUCUCUCUUCCUUGUUCUCUCCGUUCACUCCAAAAUUACUGCCGCCGGAUAGCUCCCCGUCAGCUUGCUUCCUUGAUUCGUUGCCAUGAGCUUCCUCAUCCUCUCCUGCAGCCACCCCCGCAGCUCGAUUCGCUGGUCCGGCCAUAGGAUGACCUUCAACGACGGCUGGUUUGUCUCCAUGUACGCCUUCUCGGUCUCCUAGGCUGGCAAACGGCGAUGGAGGGGUAGCAGGGCCCAAGGUCGAGCUGCGAAGGGAGUAGGCGAGAUCAUCCAUCUGCGCGGUGUUGUUGCUAUCGGCGUCCGUGCAGGUGAUGUGGGCAUGGAUUUCGUCUCGCGCAGCCAGCUUUGAUCCAUCUUUAGUGUGAGGAUGGUGGAAACGUUUUCCGCCCCUAGAGCGCCAGCCAAACGCAUCCUCCACAUCGGCGACAUUAUUUGAAGUUCGAAGGUCCCUCUUUCCCUUUUCCUUGACUGUCAUUUUUUUUCAGAACCGUUUCCUUUGUUUGUGUGAUUGAAUAUAACGUAAUUAAGGACAUUCCUGUUUAGUGAAAAUUGGUUCUUCAUUUUUCCUUGAAAUUUUGAAAAGGAAUGUGAUUAUUUUUUAAGGGCUCCAUAGGUGUUGAAUGAGGUAUAUAAUAAUUAGGGAGUGAAAUUGGAAAGAAUGUAAGCAUAUGUCCGCGCAUACAUGAUAACUGCAUUGGCGGUGCUUUUGCCAUCGACAUGCAUGUAGGGGAUGUGCUAGCUUCUCUCGCGUGCGAGUGUGAGGUUGGUGGGGACAAUGUUGUCCCCAAGUGCCUACUCGGACGCGUCCUCACUGUCCCAAAGCGAGGCAGCCCAAAAUUUUUCUCCAUCGUCCACAGAGGCAACCUGGCUUGGUCAUUGAAUAUUUUGAUCUACAUGUCCUCCUUCCUCUUAUCCUUCUUUUGUCUUUGUAUGAUUGAACUAAUAUAAUUAAAUAAGGUAGUGCUUUUUAGUGACUAACGUUCCUGUUUAUGGUUUUUAUACCAUCAUGUAUACUCGUUGCUCUUGAGUUUCUUUCCAUUGACUUAUGGUAAAGGUACUAAAUGAUGAUAGUAAGUUAUGAAUGCCAAAUACAGAUUACAGUGUAGUGUUAAUAUGUUUAUGCCCCCUCCACUUUUUUUCCAGGCUUCGGACGACAUUGGCAGUGUGAGGCCCCUCUGCCCCUAUUAAUAUUCAACAAACUUAAAAAAUAAUUAGUAUACUUAUGGUUAGCUACAAUUUUAAUAUUUUCCAAAGACAAAUUAAGAUUUAAAACGAAAUUUGAAAAUAGGUCUGAUUGUGUUGUAGAUAUACAAUGUAUCGACUCUGCAUAUGUUAAUUCACUGGCUUCUUCAUCCAUCCAGUGUGUAAAUUUAGUGAUUCCUACUCUUUCUUUCGUUACAAUCUUUGUUAAAUCUGUAGAAUCAGAGAAAAUGACUUGCUGCUCAUUUUCCAGGUAGAAAGGCAAUCUUUUGACGUAAGGAUCUCUGAAGUGAAAUUCAAAUUGAACUAUUUUCCAACAAUUAGAAGCGUGGCUUGGUCAUCACCUUUAUUUAUGUAUUUAAAAAGGUUUCUCAAUCCAUGCUAUGUGGCUCACCAUUUCCUUUCAUUGUUUAUUCCUGCACAAUAGAGAAUGCAAAUAUAAAGUUCAAGAGGAUGAUAUUAUAAUGUUAUUACAAACAGUGGUAGAACCAAAUUUGUGUUUUUUGGGGAGAUGGAUCAUGGAUGACUACAAAGAUCAAUGAUGAUGAACCUGCUGGUCUUUGGAGAUGGGAGUAUCUUGCUCCGCCGCUUGAGACCUGGGCCGGCCAGCCCUGCUCGUCCCAAUGGUUGGUCCACCACAGGUUACAGAUUAAUGCUCAAGUUUGUGAAGAUUCAUUGUUUUUAUUACUUUUUGCCUUACUUUUCACAUUAUUUUUAUGCCAUUUGUACUUGAUUAAUGAGGUACUUUAUUUAGACAGAAUUACUGAGGUAGUCAGUCCAAAUAUUAUGUGAACCAUUAUCUGAUCUACAAACUGCAAGUAGAUAUCAAUAUAUCAUACUGCAGAGGAUGCUAUAAUUCUGUGACAUGGUACUUACUAAAGAUGGUCUGAUCUCUUGACAGAGCCGAUUAUGAUUGAGGAUAGUCGACAUGAGAUUUGGUGCAGGUGACCGAUGCAGGAAGACAAUGCUUAAGUGCCACUUGUUGGAGGAAGUUGUCGAAGUGUUGUUUGCUGGAGGAAGAUGAUGUAAUAGGGGUACUCUGAAAUCUAAAGGACAAUGAAUUUUUGAGAUGGUCGAAGCUUUGCAUGGGGAAAGUAUUUUAGGGAUGGCUGAGUUGACCACACUUGCUUGAUGGAAAGAGAGGUUUGCUUGGAUGCGGAGAGAUUUUAUCUAUGUACGUGAACCUGAGAUUUUGUUUAUAUUUGGAGAGAUUAUGUCUAGAUUUUAUCUAUGUACGUGAACGUGAGAUUUUGUUUAUGCUUGGAGAGAUUAUGUCUUUGUAAAAUAUUGAUAGAGUUCGGUCAUUGCGUGAAGAUUGUUUGACC